rnacentral:rRNA from 1 species
UACAGAGGGGGCAAGCGUUGUUCGGAAUUACUGGGCGUAAAGGGCGCGUAGGCGGCCUGCUAAGUCGAACGUGAAAUCCCUGGGCUCAACCCAGGAACUGCGUCCGAUACUGGUUGGCUUGAAUCCGGGAGAGGGAUGUGGAAUUCCAGGUGUAGCGGUGAAAUGCGUAGAUAUCUGGAGGAACACCGGUGGCGAAGGCGGGUCUCUGGGCCGUAACUGACGCUGAGGAGCGAAAGCAUGGGGAGCGAACAGG